UACGGAAGUCUUAAAUACGUACGGACCGCCGUCGGAGUCACUGAGGUGACCUGCUCUCAUGUAAAAUUCUCUGAUCAACUCCAAACAAUAACCGGUUUGCUCCGGAAAAUCACAAAUCUGAUGAAGAUUUCCCUGUUCAAAUAAAUCCUGAAAACCCGGCACACAACUAAUGAUACUGGCCACCCCAACAUCUCGCUCACCAAUGCAGUGUUUCGACGAGUACAUUGACCGUCGAUUAGAUGGAACAUCCUGUAGACUGUGACGUGGUGGCUCAGAGCCCGGUUCUCGAAUUUCAACACCCCCGGACUUACGACGACCGAGACGCUCAGUCGCCUUUCCUUUGCCUUUAUCCACGGCUUUUCCUUUUCCCUUGCCUUUCGCAGUAUCCUUAUCCUUAGCUAAUACCUCGGGAACAAAAGUCUCCCAAUCCGGCUCGUCCUCCUCAGAAUCGUCGCCAGGAGCAUAUUCGCUCUCUUCAUCCUCCGGUUGAUACUCAAUCUGUAAUAUACCGUAAAUUCGGAAAAUGAAUAUCGAACUUUAGUCGAAUUGACCAAAGUGCGAGGAUGGAACACUUCGGAGAGUCCGAAGGUGUUAAAAUGAUCAAAAGUGAGUUAUGGAAGGUUUUCG
rnacentral:lncRNA from 1 species